ACGAACGCUGGCGGCGUGCUUAACACAUGCAAGUCGAACGGAAAGGCCCUGCUUGCAGGGUACUCGAGUGGCGAACGGGUGAGUAACACGUGGGUGAUCUGCCCUGCACUUCGGGAUAAGCCUGGGAAACUGGGUCUAAUACCGGAUAGGAGCCAUUUUUAGUGUGAUGGUUGGAAAGUUUUUUCGGUGUAGGAUGAGCUCGCGGCCUAUCAGCUUGUUGGUGGGGUAAUGGCCUACCAAGGCGGCGACGGGUAGCCGGCCUGAGAGGGUGAACGGCCACAUUGGGACUGAGAUACGGCCCAGACUCCUACGGGAGGCAGCAGUGGGGAAUAUUGCACAAUGGGCGCAAGCCUGAUGCAGCGACGCCGCGUGGGGGAUGACGGCCUUCGGGUUGUAAACUCCUUUCGCUAGGGACGAAGCUUUUUGUGACGGUACCUAGAUAAGAAGCACCGGCUAACUACGUG
rnacentral:rRNA from 1 species